UACGAAGGGGGCUAGCGUUGCUCGGAAUUACUGGGCGUAAAGGGCGCGUAGGCGGCCUUCUAAGUCAGACGUGAAAUCCCCCGGCUUAACCUGGGAACUGCGUCUGAUACUGGGAGGCUUGAGUAUGGGAGAGGGAUGUAGAAUUCCAGGUGUAGCGGUGAAAUGCGUAGAUAUCUGGAGGGAUACCGGUGGCGAAGGCGGCAUCCUGGACCAUAACUGACGCUGAGGCGCGAAAGCUAGGGGAGCAAACGGG
rnacentral:rRNA from 1 species